AAAGGAAUGGAGGGAAAGAGGGAGAAAGGAAGAAAGAUACAAAUGAUGAAAAGAAUGGAGAAAUGAAGGAAUUUUCCCAAACAAAUAGUAAGACAUAAAGCAAAAAUGAAGAUGAAAGUAGAAAUGAGAAUGGCAUGAAAUGGAUUUUAGAGACCUUUUAAAAGAAGAAUUGACAAAAUUUAUUCACAAAACAUACACAUUUACAUUAAUCUAGGAAGUGAAAAGGGCAAAUUAACCCUGGUACUCCAAAUUUGAGUGAGAAAAAAAUCAUUCAGUUGAUUAUGUAUUGUUGGCAUUUGUAAAGGGAAGUUUAUUUGUGUGAGAUACAAAGGAGAAAAUAAAGAGUUGUGUUUUGAUGUAAUUGACUUAGGGUACACUGGGUGUAUCAAUUAGAUAUUGAAUUUAGAAAGUCAUUACACAGACCUGAAAAACAGAGGCAUGAGUGGGACAGAAGCUGCCCAUACCUGGCUCUUUGGAGUGUGCAUAUAUUAACAGUCAUCCUGGCUCAUCCAGUACUUUGCUCUGCCAUCCUUAGACUUUGAUUCUUAUCCUUCUACUUUUAAAGUGGCUUCUUGAGCCCCAGUCUUCACAUCCAAAUUCCAGGCAGGAAAAAGGAUAAAAAAGAAGAAGGAUAAGAGGCAUGCCAACUCUGUCAAUCCUUAAAAAGUUUUUUUCCAGGAACCACAUCUAACCACACCCCUUCAAAUCAUCUACCUGCAAAGAAGGAGGGGAAACCCAGAUGUCAGCAGAACAGAGGAGCGGAAGGAUAUUGGAAGAGCAGCAGUUAUAGCAUCUCAAAGAGCGAGUGUUAUGGACAAGAGCCCCGGCGAAGGCCACUGUGCCGUGUGACACCUCCGAUGCCUCAUUUAGAGGGAUUUCAAAAGGAUUAAAUAAUUGUGAUUUUGGUCCUCUUGGUUUCUCUGAUGCUGCUGGGGCUCCCAUUUGCCUGAAGGGGCAUUCCUGUGAGUCAGCAUCCUCUCUAAUCAACAUGUUGCAGAAAAGUGUUUACACACAACAUCCAGAGAAGAGGUAAAUGACAUCAUCUGGGGGGGGGGGGGUGGUGUGGGGGAACAAAUGUGGUUUAAGGGAAAAACAAUGCAUUUAAGAGGGUGUUUAUGGGGUGGGUCUGGUGGCAUAGUGGUUA
rnacentral:lncRNA from 1 species